AUGUUUUGCCUUUUCUUUUGCUCAUUGUUCCCUAAAGCCACAUAUUUGUUUUAUGAUUUUCCACCUUCACAUGCCAUUUCUUCUUAUUCUCCCCAGAUGCCUCAUUGCUAUGUCUCUCCCUUUUUUCUCCAGCAUCUUACUUGCUGUUGGAAGUCUGGCUUGACCCAAUGUGAGGCCCUCUUCUCCAUUCCAGAUCCAGGACACCAUUCCCUGAAGGAGCCAUCAGGGGCCUGUGGGAUAGAGGCCAUUGCUGGGGAUGCCCUGAUAGAGGUCCUUCAACAAAUAACAAGUAAGAGGCUGCAGUUUCUGCAACGAGAGAUGAUGGGGCUGAAAUGUCAGCAGGACAGACCAGGAUGGAAGAUCAAUCACGGAGCGGUUCCCCAUGCUGUGAGCUCCCCCAGGCAAAGGCUGUACCUUUUGUUUUCCUCAGCACCUCUCUUAGAACCCAGAACAAUGUCCAGAGGAGAACAGGCAUUCAGGGUAAAUGUUGAGUCAGUGUUGUCCCAGCCUUGGUGAAGCAGGGGCAUCUAGCAUGCUGUGAGAUGCUGUGUGCUGAGGAGUUAUAUUCCAGGGUACUAACUGGCAGCCAGACCCAUCACUGCAGGUUUGGAUUUGUCACUUAUUAGCUGAGUACCUUUUGGCAAACUCCAUUAUUUUCAAAUGUCUUGAUUUUUAAAAAUGGGAAAAUUAGUACUUUCACAGGGUUGUCAUAAGAAAGAAUCAGGAUAGUGAACACGAAAGCAAUUUUAAACCAAACUGCUCAGUGGAAGUAUAAUUUUAGCUUAUUAUCCUUCUCAUCACUGUCACCACCCAGAUGCAUGAAUCAACAAAUGGACCCGGGAAGAAAGGCAGAAGGAGAAGCAGAGAUGAAAUGCUCACAGUAAACCUAGGGAGACAUAAUUUCCAGGAUUUGAACAUUCUGGCUAAAGAGAGUUUGAACAUAACCUAGUUUAACCCUCUUAUUUCAUAGAAUGAGGAAACGUCCCUGAAGAAGGAAGUGACUUGCCCAAGUUCAUGAGCCAGCCAAUGUAGCUGCUGAACUAAGAAAGGAUCCAGUCUGUCUAAGACGAUUGAACAUUCUCCUAACUUUCUUGACAAAAGAAGUGUCUGAAUCUUUCCUUCCAAAUUCUGUCCUCUCCAUGCUCUCCUGCCUCUUCCCUGAUCAGAGGACACAUGGCUUUCCGGUUACACACUCAGUGUAAGGAAUUAGGGGGAUGAAUUACACAGCAGUCAUCCCUUCCCCAAGUUCCCCAAGAAUAACAAAUGGCUGCCCAUUCUGAGUCAAGAGCCUUUUUUUUUUUUGGCUCAAACAAGCCAAGAGGUGCAAAGGACCUCAUCCUAAAGGUUAAUUUCCACUACAAAAGGAUAGAGUUCCAUUUAGGUGAACAAAUACAAGUUUCUUAGUCAUGUUGGUGGACCUGAUGAAAGAGAAAUAAAGGCUUUGCAGAAAUGAAAACUCA
rnacentral:lncRNA from 1 species